CCUCCUUUGUUCCGCCGUUUUUACUAUUUCCCCCUUUUUUCCCCCCUGCUGCCGCGCUGCCGCGUGGAGGAAGAAGGUUUUCGGAUUGUAAACUCCUUUUAUCAGGGACGAUAAUGACGGUACCUGAAGAAAAAGCUCCGGCUAACUACGUGCCAGCAGCCGCGGUAAUACGUAGGGAGCGAGCGUUGUCCGGAAUUACUGGGUGUAAAGGGAGCGUAGGCGGGACGGCAAGUCAGAUGUGAAAACUGAGGGCUCAACCUUCAGACUGCAUUUGAAACUGCUGUUCUUGAGUGAAGUAGAGGUAAGCGGAAUUCCUAGUGUAGCGGUGAAAUGCGUAGAUAUUAGGAGGAACAUCGGUGGCGAAGGCGGCUUACUGGGCUUUUACUGACGCUGAGGCUCGAAAGCGUGGGGAGCAAACAGGAUUAGAUACCCGGGUAGUC
rnacentral:rRNA from 1 species